UCAGAUUAAGGGCAAAAAAUGUGAAUAAUUUCAGCAGGCCACAUUAUUCUCCAUCUUCCUUUUCAGUUUAGACAUGGACAUGCUUUGGCAGUGACAGGCAACAGAGCAUUCAUGUUUGGAAGCUGUUCCAUUGAUAACACCUUUCAGUCACUCUCACUGAUUUGACUUGGGAGAGGAUACUGCAGCAGGGACAUAUUCCUUGUAGUGGAGAAGAACAUACAUUUUGUAUAGGAAAAGGAAAGUUACAUUUAUUUGAAGGAUGUUCUACCAAAAAUGCUGAAGAUUGUCUUCCAGGAGCCUACAGCUUUGCUCUUAUUACAUUGACAUGGCAGCAAUGCAAAGCCAAAGGAGAAAUACCCAGUGGAAGGACACAUCAUACACAUACAUCACACUAUGACAAGG
ensembl:lncRNA